rfam:Magnaporthe oryzae 70-15 chromosome 1, whole genome shotgun sequence.
GUCUCUAUAGCUCAGUGGCAGAGCGCAGGUCUCAUACUGUGAAAAUCACUGUGUGAUCGUAUGAUAACAUACGAGCAAUCCUGAGGUCGACGGUUCGAUGCCGCCUAGGGACA